ensembl:lncRNA
UCUUCCUGUCUGUCCAAGGCAGCAGGACGGGGCCCGGGAGCUUUUGUGACACUUUCAGGGAUGUCACCCCACACCUGUCUCCCACGGACUGCCCCAGGGGCAGCAGCAGGCACUGCAGAUGGGCACCCGAAGGCCAGCGGUGGCUGAGGGACACAGACACAGGCCCGGGACCUCCGCAGGCGUGAGCCCAGACUUGGCAAGAGAAAAAUACGCUCUCUCUUUGCUUAAUUCCAGUCCUACCAGGCCAUGCUCAGCGCUCACAGUAGAAGGCUGUGUAAAUUGUCACUCAGCCCACUGCGAUCAGGAACAUUUUCCACAAUGAGCCAUUGGGCAGGCACAAUACAACGCAAUGUUUUCCUCUGACUGCAGCAUCUGUCAGUAAAUAACUGGCAUCAUAAUAAUCAGCAUUUUAUUCUGCGGGUCCCAGGGUCGACAGUGACCGUGGCACGCGCCGAGGCCCCCCGCGGCUCCUCAUGACGACCUCCCUCUCUCCACGUGGGGCAGGGCACAGCGGCUACAUUCCUCACGGGAGCUGAGGCACCAUCGCAGACAGCUAUGGACCGGGCUGGAGUGUCCAGGCAGAGGACUGUUCUCCUCCAUACAUAAAGAACUCAGACAAAAAGGAGACCUCCCCCAAAAUAAAAGAACCAAUCAAAAACAAACAGCUGAAAUGAAGACACCUCUCAGAAGAAGAAAAGCAAAGAGCCAAUGAAUACUUGAAAAUAACAGUCAGGACCUCUAGUCAUCACAGAGACGCAAAUUAAAGUGACCCUGAGAUUUUCUCUCACCCCAGGAGGAAUGGCCAUCAUCCAGGAACCAAAUGAUAGCCAAUGCUGGCGAGGCCGAGGGGAAAAGGGAACGCUUGUCACGUUUUUUUUGUACCAGGGAUCGAACUUAGGUCCUUGAGCUUGCAGGGCAGGCGGCAGAACCACUGAGCUAAAUCCCGGCCCAUGCUUCUCACUUUUAAGCAGAUGUUUGCGAUAAUAAUGAUUGCACUUGCUGCAGGAGUUGGUGCGCGGACACGAAUCAUUUGCUUAGUUUCCAACCCCUCCCACCUGCCUUGCUCCUUCCAACUCUUGGUCCCUUUCUGUUUGCAAAAACUCUCCAUAUUUCUCUUCAGUUCUUUUUUUCCUGUCCCCUUUCCCCCUCCUCUGUUUCCCUCUCAUCAUCUCUUGUUCCUCUUUCCAUUUAAAAAAGCUCUCUCUAUUCCCUAGUAUCUAUUUUUUAUUUUGCUUUCUAUUUAUAUUUUGGGUUUCUUAUCUGAGAGAAUCCAUGCAACAUUUAAGCUCGCGGGUCCGAUUUGUUUCACUUAACAUUAUGGUCUCAAAGUGCAUCCAUUGUCUUACUAACACCUCAAGUUUACCCUUUGUUAAGGCAGAGUAGUGCUCCACGGUGCGUAAAUAUCACACUUUCUUUAUCCACCCCCCUGACCCCCGGACAUCUAAAACUGACAUUAAGCCGGGAGAUGAAUACAUUCGGUGAAGCCCCAGGUCCUCAGAGCCUGGCUUCUGGAUUCCGCACAUGAAGUGACUUCUGUCUUCACCCACCUUCCCUUGGAGCGCCUCACAGUGGCUUGCAGUCAGCCCAUCAUUCUGUAAAUACUCCACUAUGCAUCUCUAAAGUACUUUAGAUUUUGUCAUAGUAACAUUAACUGCUAAAAUGGAGCACAGACAUUCAAAUCUCCGGUGUUCCAACUUCCUUUCUUCCGACGCAUCCUACACCCUCCCUGUCCUAGUUGCCUUCUUCCCGGCCUGGCCCGACCGCAGAGCCUGCCAGGAAACUUCCGGAUUUGCCAGUCACAAGGAGCGUGACAGCUCGGUGUAGAGGAGAUGCGAUGCUAUGCAUGCUGGGGCAAACUGAGUGUUUGUUACCUGCUUGCCGUUACUUUUGGUAAGAUUCUCCUGUGUGACUCUUGUGCAUGUUCUACUUAGGUUUGAUGCCUCUACUUUUAGGAACUAUAGGUGGAGGAUGUAGCCUCUUCUCUGGUGUACGUUGCCUCUUUUUCUCCAUUUGCAUUUUGUUUAUUUUGUCUUAAAAAUUUUUAAGUAGUCAGCUUUGUCAGUCUUCUUGCCUGAGUGCUUUUGAAUGUGAGUCAUUUGAAGAUAUUUUCAUUCUUCCGAAGUUAUAAAGAAAUUCACUUUUUUUUUUUUGGUGAUGCUGGGGGUUGAACCCAGGGCUUUUGAAUUGAGCUACAUCUCCAGCCCUUUACAUUUUUUUUUUUUAAAUUGUGAGACAGGGUCUAGCUAUGCCACUAAGUUUCCCAGGCUGGCCUUGAACUUGUGACCCUCCUGCCUCAGCCUCCCAGAUGCUGGGGUUGCAGGUGCGCCUGCUCCAUGUUUUGCUGCAAUGCCCAUGUGACUGUCUCCUGCCUGCCUGCCUGCCUGCCUGCCUGCCUGCCUUCCUGCCUGCCUGCCUUCCUUCCUUCCUUCCUUCCUUCCUUCCUUCCUUCCUUCCUUCCUUCCUUCCUUCCUUCCUUUCCUUCUGCCCGUUGCUUUGGAAGUACCUUAUGUACUUGGAGUUCUUGUAGAUUGGGUCCAAGUUGAUUUGCUUCUCCUUACUUCCAUCUGGUUCUUCUAAAACGGUGUACCGAGGGUCUCCCGCUGCUCCUGCUGUGUGAACAGCUGCACAAGGUGGCCAUGAGGUGUAGAUGCUACAGCCACCCCUCCCACGCUCCCUGGCCCUUCUUGGUAUUCCUGCUUGUUUACUCCUCAAAACUGAACUUCUCAAAUCAGUCUCUUUACUUCUAGGAAAAAGGCUUAUCUUAUUUUCAUUGAAAUGACAUUACGCUUAUAAAUGAAAUUACGAAAAUAGGACAUCUUUAUGAUGCUGCAUUUUUUUCACCCAAGAGGAUUGUCAUAUGGUUUAAUCCCUAGAAACUCCCCUCUCAAACAAUGGCAAAACCACCAGAAACAUGAAGAAAAUUUGAGGAAAUAGCAUGUGAAGUGGCAAAGAAAAAAUUCAAUAAAUAUCACAUACACUAGAAAUGAGUUCAACAAUAUAAGAGAAGAUAAAACCAUAUCCUCCUGUGUGUUAUUGGUAGGAGAGUGAGACACUGUGUUAGGAAAAAGCACAAUUGCAGAACUGAGAUCAGUGUUCUCUGCUCCUCUGCACCCACC